CAGAGGGUGCGAGCGUUAAUCGGAAUUACUGGGCGUAAAGCGCGCGUAGGCGGCUUUGCAAGUCGGGUGUGAAAUCCCCAGGCUUAACCUGGGAACUGCAUUCGAGACUGCAUUGCUAGAGUAUGGGAGAGGGAAGUGGAAUUUCCGGUGUAGCGGUGAAAUGCGUAGAUAUCGGAAGGAACAUCAGUGGCGAAAGCGACUUCCUGGACCAAUACUGACGCUCAUGUGCGAAAGCGUGGGGAGCAAACAGGAUUAGAUACCCUGGUAGUCCACGCCAUAAACGAUGAGAACUGGAUGUCGGGAGGGUCUGCCUCUCGGUGUCGUAGCUAACGCGUUAAGUUCUCCGCCUGGGGAUACGGCCGCAAGGUUG
rnacentral:rRNA from 1 species